rnacentral:rRNA from 1 species
UCCGUAGGUGAACCUGCGGAGGGAUCAUUACCGAGUUUACAACUCCCAAACCCCUGUGAACAUACCACUUGUUGCCUCGGCGGAUCAGCCCGCUCCCGGUAAAACGGGACGGCCCGCCAGAGGACCCCUAAACUCUGUUUCUAUAUGUAACUUCUGAGUAAAACCAUAAAUAAAUCAAAACUUUCAACAACGGAUCUCUUGGUUCUGGCAUCGAUGAAGAACGCAGCAAAAUGCGAUAAGUAAUGUGAAUUGCAGAAUUCAGUGAAUCAUCGAAUCUUUGAACGCACAUUGCGCCCGCCAGUAUUCUGGCGGGCAUGCCUGUUCGAGCGUCAUUUCAACCCUCAAGCACAGCUUGGUGUUGGGACUCGCGUUAAUUCGCGUUCCUCAAAUUGAUUGGCGGUCACGUCGAGCUUCCAUAGCGUAGUAGUAAAACCCUCGUUACUGGUAAUCGUCGCGGCCACGCCGUUAAACCCCCAACUUCUGAAUGUUGACCUCGGAUCAGGUAGGAAUACCCGCUGAACUUAAGCAUAUCAAUAAGCGGAGGA